rnacentral:lncRNA from 1 species
CCUAGACAAGUGUAAUGAUGGCAUCUGCAAAAGAGCUUGGAGAUUCGUUAUACUUAUAUAUAUAUAUGUGUGUAUGUGCGUGCGUGUGUGUGUGUAUAUAUAUAUAUAUAUAUAUAUAUAUAUAUAUACGAGAUCUGAUCAAUAAGUAUCUGGACUGUUGCUAUAAUAACGAAGCUAAAGCAGGCACAGUGAAGCCACUUGGCAUAGAUUGACCUUGAACUCUGCUGUGUAUGCGCACUAAGAUUUAACGUUCUAACUCACUUCCGCUGUCUACAGCAGUGCUUGGAAGGGAGGUGUGUAGCGUGUAAUCGUCGCAUUGAUCAUGACGAAGUUGUCAUGGCGACACCUGCUUAGAGGCCGACGCAACGUUGCAUAAAGCGUAUGGAGAGAAGUGUAUGAGCCGCACACAAGUGUACGAGUGGUCGAGACGUUUCCAGGGGAGCCGAAAAUAUGUCGAUAUUGACAAAUGUAAACAGCGGAAGUGAACUAGAACGCCAAAACUUGGUGCACAUCGACAGCAGACUUCAAUUUCAAUCUGUGACAUGCGGUUUCACAUUACGUGCUUUAGUUUCGAAAGUAUGGCAACAGUCCGGAUACUUAUUGAUCAGACCACACACACACACACACACACACACACGCACACACACACACACACACAUACACACACACACAUACAUAUAUAUAUAUAUAUAUAUAUAUAUAUAUAUAUAUAUAUAUAUAUAUAUAUAUACGUUUAUAUAUUUGAAUUGCAAGAUUGUGAAAUCGUGUAUUGAAUCAGAUAUUGUUGUAUUUAGGAAUGGUCAUUUUGCCAGUUUAGCCAAUAAGAACACACGCACUAUUUAUUUGGUGUAACUUUGCUUCAGCGUUAUUCAUCUUUUACAUUUAUCUUAAUCUUAUUUCGGCCAGGGUUCUUUUGUCACACUCCUGUGACCUCAUCAGUGGUCUUUUACUUUCUUCUUUCUUAUUUUGUGUCUCCCCUUACUAACGGUCAGCCAUUUUGUAUUUUGUAUUCCUAUUGUUUGUGUCUUCAUUUGUGCAUGCAUAUACCUCUAUGCGUGUCUAUGUUUAGUUAGUGUUUGUGUGUGUGUGGGGGGGGAGUGCCUGUAAUAUUUGUAUCUCCUGUUUAUAUACGUUCGUGUAAUUUGUUUUUUGUUUUUGUUUAUUUUUAUUUUGUUCAUGUGUUUACAUCUAGUUAUUAUUAUUUUUUUUUUUUUUUUAUUAUUAUUUCUAAUGUAUAUAGUUAUUCACUUCCAUUUGUUUAUUUAUCUGUGUAUUUUAUUUUAUUAUAUUAUUAUGUUUUUAGUUUUGUUUAUAUUGUUACCAGUUUAUAGGGAUCUUCUGUCAUAUGCUGUGGCGUGUGCUAGUGUUGCAAUUCAGUUUCCUAUUCAGGCUACGUUUAUCUUCAAUUUAUGUGUGUAGCUUCCGUAAUUUGUCUGAUUGUUGUGUCUGUUCUAUGUGUGGACAAGAUUUUAACUUUUAUGUUGUUGAUUGAGCCCCCGUGUUGCUGCUCGGCGUGUUGGUUCAGAACCGAUGAGUUCUUUUCUUCCUUAUGUUCUCUCCAAUGUGCAUUUACCCGCUCUCCUAUGCUCCGUGCCGUUUACCCUGCGUAUGUCGUUGUCUUACUACUGCAUCGUCCCUCUAUACAUCUUAUACUAUAUGUAGUCUAUAGUAUAUAUAGUCUAUUGUACCCCCACAUACACACAAACUAAACAUAGACACGCAUAGAAGUAUACGCAUGCGCAAAUGAAGACACAAACAAUAGGAAUACAAAAUACAAAAUGGCUGACCGUUUUUAAGGAGAGACACACAAAUAAGAAAGAAGAAAGCAAAAGACCACUGAUGAGGUCACAGGAGUAUGACGAAAGAACUCUGGCCGAAAUAAGAUUAAGAUUAAUGUAAAAAAUGAAUAACACUGAAGCAAAGUAACACCAAAUAAAUAGUGCGUGUGUUUUUAUUGACUAAACUGGCAAAAUGGUCAUUCCUAAAUACAACAAUAUACAUAUAUAUAUAUAAGCAAGAAAAAAGCAACAAAAAUGGAUUAAUAUUUCGGUACAAUUGUUUCGUACGAAGACACCUUUAUUAAGGCUGCAAAUAUUGCAGCAAAUGUUUUUUCGGCUGAUGAGUACGGGCCACGUGUAUUUGCUGCAAUAUUUGCAGCCUUAAUAAAGGUGUCUUCGUACGAAACAAUUGUACCGAAAUAUUGAUCCAUUUUUGUUGCUUUUUUCUUGCUUAUAAUCACCCCGCAUUAUCUUAUGAUUAAUACCAUAUAGAUUUCUGGUGCAUCUAAGUUAAGUACCUCAUUCAUGUGAAUUCAACAGGACUCACUUGAAUCUUAAUUACUUUUACAUAUAUAUAUAUAUAUAUAAUUAUUCUUGUAUAAGAAUAAGAAAUUUGUACUCAACCAAAGUAUAAAGUAAACUAUGAGAUCAAUGUAAAAUUGCUUUUAUUAUAACUGAGCAAAAAAAAUAAUACUACAUAAAAUUAUGUAUAGUUGAUAUUUUUUCGGUGUUUACUACUUUGUCGAGUAAUAUUUCAGUCGUACUGCUUCCACGCAACUUCUUCACAUUAUUCAGUAACAAUUUUGAAUUAUAACUUUAUUAUUAUUAUUAUUAUUAUUAUUAUUAUUAUUAUUAUUAUUAUUAUUAUUAUUAUUAUUAUUAUUAUUAUUCAGUAGUAUAUUUUUUAUAUCGUGCUUUCACUUCACUACCGAGCGCAGCUCUGUGUGCCUUGGGUAUGUGCUGUGAUUUGUUGUGAUGCUCUGAUGGUUAUUGUAUGGAAAGUGUUCUGCGUAGGAUGUGUGCAGUGCCUAGUAGUGCAAUUUUCUGUAUGUUAUAUGUGUUUGUAAGUCCUGGUGUUCUUGUUAUGCAUUUGUCUGAAUAUUUUUUUAUCAUGCCUAAUGCACCUACUAUGAUAGGAAUUGUUUCUGCUUUUAGAUUCCACAUUCUGGUUACCUCUAUUUCCAGGUCUUUGUAUUUUGAAAGUUUGUCCAUUUCUUUUAGAGACACGUUGUCAUCCGCUGGUAUUGAUACAUCAAUUAGAAAACAUUUUUUUCUUCAUGAUCUCUGACAACUAUAUCUGGUCUGUUGGCCUUAAUUUCUCUAUCUGUGCGUAUUGGCAUAUCCCAGAGUAUGGUUGCUUUCUCGUUUUCUGUGACCUUUUCUGGUGUGUGCCUACGUCAGAUUUUGGGUGAUGCAUCCUAGAUCCUGUCAUUAUUUUUCUUGUUUUCCUAUCUAUUUUUGUCAGUUCAUUUCGUGUCCAGUUAAGGAUAUUGUAGCUGUAACUUAUAACUGGGACAGCUAAAGUGUUGAUACCUAUUAUCUUGUUUUUAGCAUUGAGCUCUGUGUUUAGUAUUGAUCUAACUCGUCUAUAAUAUUCUUUUUUAUUUUCUCUUUCAUUUGAGUGUGUUGUGUCUUAUCUAGUUCAUGGAUUCCUAAGUAUUUGUAAGUUUGGCUUUGGUCUAAUUCUUUUAUUUCAUUGGUUUUAUCUAGUGUGAUGUUGCUACUCUUAAUUAGUUUUCCUCUUUUCAGGGUUACUUUGGCGCAUUUCUCUAAUCCGAAUUUCGUAUCUAUUUCUUUGGUAAAUCCAUGAACUGUCUUUAGUAGUGUUUCCAGCUGUUUGUCAUUUGUAGCGUAUAGUUUUAGGUCAUCCAUAUAUAAAAGGUGGCUGAUCUUUUUGCCGUAACAUUUAUAUCCGCAUCCAGUUCUGUUUAGCAUAUGCAAUAGAGGUGACAGAGCCAAGCAGAAAAGGAGUGGAGAGAGCGUAUCUCCCUGGAAUAUUCAUCUUCUAAUGGGGAUGGCUUUGGUUUUCACAAGUCCCUCUUUUGUUUGGAGCUGUAGCACUGUUUGCCAUUAUUAUUAUUAUUAUCAUUAUUAUUAUUAUUAUUAUUAUUAUUAUUAUUAUUAUUAUUAUUAUUAUUAUUAUUAUUAUUAUUUUUAUUAUCAUUAUUAUUAUUAUUAUUUUAUUUUUUAUUAUCAUUAUUAUUAUUAUUAGCAUUUCGAUGGUAGCCGAGUGUGUUACUUCACAUUAACAAAACAAUGGCAUGAACACGAACCCGAUGAUGUGGCAGAUAAUGAGUAUUACAUACAUACAUACAUACAUACAUACAUACAUACAUACAUACAUGCAUACAUACGUAGAAGAAUUUCUUCCGUCUUUUCAUUGUGAACUAAGAUGCUGCCAAGUCUGACUUAAGCGUUCAUCCCUUCGGGAACGAUGAAAUAUAUACCCGUUGAUCACUGGGGUUGAUGUAACUUAACACUCCCCUAAAAUUUCUGGCCUUGUACCUAUUGUAGAAAAUAUUAUUAUAUUUCUUUUUUUUUUUAUUUUAAGGCGACAUAAUGCCAGAGACGGUAGAACUGCGGAAUAAAAUGUAGAUAGCGGUUAGUUUCAGUCCUCAAGUUAACAUUUCGGCCGAGUCAAGCAUGCUUUCUACCCCUCCGGUAUGGAUGAAAUAAAUAAGAAAUAAAUAGUGGGAACAAUUGAAUCGACUAGACUACAUUAAGAGGAUAUAUGCAGCCUUGUGCUUUAUGCAAGAAAGUACGAUGAUUAUCAUUAUCUUUCUCCACGCGACUUUCAUUCAUCCCCAUCAACUUUAUCAUAUGCUGUUAUCUUUGUUCUGUUUUUGUUAAGAUACUGAACGCGAUGCAUUUGGUCAAUAAGCCUUAGUUGAUUAACUAUAUAUAUAUUAUUUUUUCUUUCUUCAUUGCAACAUUAACAAUUGUUAAGCAGUUUCUGCAGAAGUUAAAGCAGAGGAAGUGUUCAUUGAAAUGGAAAUAUUCAAAGAAUAUGCAAUGAAUAAGCUAUUUUUUUUUCAUACUCGCUAACAUUUUAUUGUCUUUUUUUUCGUCACUAUAUUUUAAUGUAUAGAAUAACUGCAGACAAAGUGAUCUUCAUGAAAUUGUUUAGAUGACAUAAACCAAAAAAAUAAUAAAAUAAGUCUUUCUACAGCAUGUUCCGGAGAAUCAUGACUAUAACCCAUUAAAUCUUCAAUAAUAAUUCUCUGCGAAAGCAUAUUUUUUAUCACAUGUAUGUAUGUAUACACACACACGUACGCAAUUUAUAUGCAUAUAUAUAUAUAUAUAUAUAUAUAUAUAUAUAUAUAUAUAUAUAUACGAAGGAAAGUCAAAAAUUAUUUGCACUUUUGCCGUAACAUAACUUUAUUAUUGUCAAACUGCCUUCUGCGCAUGCGUGCUUAUAGUUGGUACUAUUGGGGUCACGUGAUCGAAGCUUGACCCUGAUCGAGCGAUUACAUCUGCCAGGCCUUUCGCGCACCUUUAAAACCAGGACCUUCUCAGCACCCCUUAAUACUGUUAUCAAAGAUCCUGGAGAUACCAGAUUUUGUAAAUGUCUGAAUUUUAUUUGGUGCAUGAAAUUGCAGAUUUCCACAGUAUUGUUGGCGGUUUUAUUUUCCAAGGCUGUUGAAAUCCAAAUCCUCGAACAACUAGCCCACUCCAGCCCCUCUCUGAGAAGACACCUAGCAAAUAAACGGGCAAGGGACAGCAAUCAAAGUACACUAGCCAACUACUCCAUCCGUGACACAGAUUUAUGCCAACGGGUAAAUGUGGUGUAUAGAAUACAAUGUAACAAAUGCAACAAGUUCUCUGUGGGUAGCACAAGACAGUUACACAUUCGCAUCAAAGUACAUCUGAACACGAGAGACUCCUCCUACAGAAAACAUCUAGACAGACGCCGAACACCGACAAAAGCAUAACAGUCAUAAUUAUGGCCAAUGAAAGAAAUUUGGGUAAUCUAAGAAUUAAGGAAGCUAUCCUCAUGGACAGACGAGGAGCCCAAAUUAACAACAGGUUGAUAAUCAAUAUAAUGUUUAGCUACAUCUGAAUGCGUGUAAGUUCAUUUUUAAUUACAUGCUUAUGAAUUAUAAAAGAAUAAGAAAAGAAACUCCACGUAUAAUACAUAACUUAAAAGCAACAUUGCGGAUGUUCCAACACACACGAGCUUGAGACAUGGCCGCCCUCACGCACUUCUCACGGGGAAUUCCGGAAGGAGCUUCGUGAGACCACUGCAGAGAGGCUUCCGGGAAAAAGAGAUUCAGUAACCGUUGAAAAACCGAUUAUAGCAGUGAUUCGAUCAAUUCCUAGCGAUUUCUGAAGAAGGAAUUUUUAUAUUCCGAAAUUUUAUUAUUAUAUCAGACAAUGGAUAAUUGAAUUAUAACAGUUAUUAUUAUUGUCCACUCUGCAUUGUUGUGCCUUUCAAGACACGUUAUAUUUUACAGAUUUCAUUGUGUUAAAUAUUUCACUUGUACUUUUGAUUUUUGCACUAUGCAAGAAGUAUUGCAUGUUGCAAUAUUAACAUCUAAUUGCAACUCCUGUCGAGGAGAGUGAUAUUAUGGUUUAUCAAUAAAAGUUGCAGUAGUAGGCAGCGAGCUGGUAGAGUGUUUAGCACGCUGUGUAAAAUGCUUAGCGGCAUUUCGUCUGUCUUUACGUUCUGAGUUCAAAUUCUUCCGAUUUUGCCUUUCUAUUUUAUUCCUUCGGGGUCGAUAAAAUAAAUACCAGUUGAACACCGGGAUCGACGUAAUUGACGUAUCCCCUACCCCAAAAUUGCUGGCCUUGUGCCAAAAUGUGAAAGAAUUAUUAGUUGCAGUACUAAUGGUAGAGUAGAGUAGUGGAUUGACAGAAUUGUUAGAACGUUGUAAAAAUACGUUAAGCUAUUUGUUCGGGUAGAUUCCAUUCCAAGUUCAAUAUCCGUCAGAUGCAAUUAUGACUUUCAUUUUCACUGGGUCGAUGAUAUAAAGUACCAGUCAAGCGUUGAAAUCGAUGUACUCGACUAUUCCUCUCCCAUCAAUUUGCUAGCCCUGUGCCUAAAUUAGAAAUAAACAAAUAUUUAUCGUAUUUGUAGUUAUAAUUCAAUAUAUUAAAUCUAUAGAAAAGGCUUAUAAAAAAUCGAAGAGUAGGCAUAUAUAAAUUUCCUAACUUUCAGCAAAGACAUACUGAAUUUGAAAAUAUUAGACUGCAAUCUUAAUCAUAAUAUUUUUUUACUAUAGAUUCAUGCUAUUGUGUUAUGAGAAACCGAAUGAGUUGACACAAAAGAUAGAAUUCACGGAAUAUAUCUAGUUGAGUCAUUUGUGACGUGUGUUUGAACAAUCUCACUAGAGCAUCAAUGUUUUAUAAUUCACGUUCAAUCGUUUCGCAACAGCAGUACGAUGCAGUUUUAGUCCCCUCAUUUCAUAACUUAAAUCGCAUGAAUGUAAUAUUUUCCUUUCACUUGCCUGGGAUUAUACAACACAUUACUAGCAAUGUAUUGCUCUUGAUUCAAUGUAAAGCUUUUAUUUGCAGUUAUCGAAACAAAAUAAUAUUCAGUCACAUGCCAGUGGAAGAAAGUUCUAUGUAUUUGUGGGACCUCCUGGGUUACCUGCUUUAAAAUGACGUACUAUAUCUUGUUAUAAACUAAAAGAAAUAUUGAGUUGCAUCCAAUUCUACAAAAUUACGUAUCUGAAUAAUGGUGAAAUAGCAGAUACAACUUAUGUAUUUCGUCCAUAAAUACUACGAGGGUUCAUUCAUUUUGGUUUGUCUCGGCCCAUUAGAUCCAAUAUCUACAAAAUAAUAUAUUCAGUCAGUUAUUAUGUCAUCUACACAAUUAGCUACGUGCGUAAUAAUCAACUUGAAAUAAAUCCUAUUCUAAAGAUGAGCCAAAUUAGAAGAGAAUGUGAUGGAAACUAUGGAAAGAACGGAUUAAAUGCUUCACAGAAUGAAAUUCCGUCCUAUUUCAUUUCGCGGUCGAAAUUCAUCGAUGCUAAUUUUCUCUUUCAUCUUCCACUUGUCCAUUUAAACAAGUACACGUAUAUAUAUAUAUAUAUAUAUAUAUAUAUAUGUAUGUGUGUGUGCGUGUGUGUGUGUGUGUGUGUGUGUGUGUGUGUGUGUUGCGGUCAUGCAAUGUAUAUAUAUAUAUAUAUAUAUAUAUAUAUAUAUAUAUAUACAUAUUCCUAGAGAAUACUAUUAUUUCAGCCUCUUUUAUUACAUAUUUGCACGGCAAACCGAACUCCCGUGCAUAAAGUUGUAAAAGUCGGUUAAUUCAAUAUACAAUAACAGCAAAAUAUGUAUCUACAUGCAAUCAUAUAUCGACAGAUAUCGCAUUAGCAUUUGGGAAUAAAAUAACUCUUUGAACUUAGGAAUUGUUAUAUAUGAUAGUUUGGUUCCAUCUUUGGGAAUUAUACGUCAUAUGAUACCGUGAACGUGCUUAUAUAUUUGAGAAUUUACUACAAAGCCUUUAUAAGAAUAAUUAUGUGAGUGACAUAGGUUUGGAAGAAUGCUGAAAACUGAGUGCAUCUAAAUGAUACAAAGGGUAGGUGGGAAAAAUAAAUGAAUAUUAAUGUUGCAAAAUAGCAUUUCAUGAAUUGUGAAAAUGAAUUACUGCAUCAAACCAAACAGUCGUUUAUAUAUAUAUAUAUAUAUAUAUAUGUGUGUGUGUGUGUGUGUGUGUGUGUGUGUGUGUGUGUGUGUGUGUGUGUGUGUGUGUAAUUGCAGCGUGGAAGGUCUUUAUGAGCCAUUUACGAAACACCCAAAAACCGUUAGAUUAGCAGCACGGAAUUUUGUCAGUGAACAGGUCGCGGUCUCAAAGCGACGAAAAUAUUUUGGCAAAUUAAAUUUAAAUGUUGAAGUGAAUCUAACGGUUUCUGUGUGUCUCUUAAAUGGCUUAUAAACACCUUUCAAUCGUUUUCGUUCCAGCACACGAUCCCAGAUCAGGUCACUAACUAUGCAAGUACAUCUCCGUAUAUAUAUAUAUAUAUAUAUAUAUAUAUAUAUAUAUAGAGAGAGAGAGAGAGAGAGAGAGAGAUUAUAUACGUGUGUAUGCGUGUGCGUGUGUGCACGUAGGUGUGUGUAAAUAGUCAGAUAGAUAGAUCGAUAAAACUGAAGCUUUGCAAACGUGUUAGCAUUCAUUCGAAGAUAUUAAGUGUAUAUUUACUAAGCCAGAUGUUUAUCGCUACAGUACUGAUCGUGGGCUAGGAAAAAGUACCAGAAACUCAGAAAAUAGAUAAAUGAUUUUCCCAGAAGCACUAAAAUAUAUGGUUAAGUCUAGUAUUCUACCAUACUGGUAUAUUUCAUAGUCUUUCACAUUGAGCACAAAGAAUCAAAGUAACUGUGACUUGUUUGUUAAAUAAAAGUGAAGAACUGUGCAGCAAAAUAUCAUACCUCACUUUAAAGUGAAGUAAACGAAAUUGUAUAAAUCUUUUAUUGCUUUCAUAAUUGUAUUAUAUAUUUAUAUAUUCAACAUAGGAACAGCUGAACAUUUCAAAUGUCGUUUAACCGUAUUGACUCGAGAAAUGACACUAAAUAGUAUUUAUUGUUACUUAAACAAAUCUUUUCAACUGUUUGGAUCCUAUUCAAAUAUAAAAGUAUAUUUGUGUAGUGACAGCAAGUGGCAAGUAAUUGGACAGUUCAGUGAUAUAUAUUUAAUACCAAGAAAACUAAAAUAUCUUAAUGCUUUUGUAUUCGAAUCUAGACCACUAUUCUUAUUUUAUGAAAUAUUUGGCAUUUCAAGUGUUGUAUUUACUCUUAAAUAAUACGCUUACAUUUAAUGUUUAUAAUCUUUGUUUGUUUUACUUUUUGAUUUCAGGAAAAUAUUAUAUCCCAAACAUAUGAUGCGAUUAAAACCUUGCUCCAGG